AUUGAACGCUGGCGGCAUGCCUUACACAUGCAAGUCGAACGGCAGCACGGGAGCAAUCCUGGUGGCGAGUGGCGAACGGGUGAGUAAUAUAUCGGAACGUGCCCAGUCGUGGGGGAUAACGUAGCGAAAGCUACGCUAAUACCGCAUACGAUCUAUGGAUGAAAGCGGGGGAUCGCAAGACCUCGCGCGAUUGGAGCGGCCGAUAUCAGAUUAGGUAGUUGGUGAGGUAAAGGCUCGCCAAGCCGACGAUCUGUAGCUGGUCUGAGAGGACGACCAGCCACACUGGGACUGAGACACGGCCCAGACUCCUACGGGAGGCAGCAGUGGGGAAUUUUUGGGACAAUGGGCGGCAAGCCUGAUCCAGCAAUGCCGCGUGCAGGAUGAAGGCCUCGGUU
rnacentral:rRNA from 1 species